rnacentral:rRNA from 1 species
AGAGUUUGAUCCUGGCUCAGGAUGAACGCUAGCUACAGGCUUAACACAUGCAAGUCGAGGGGAAACGAUAUUGGAAGCUUGCUUCCGAUAGGCGUCGACCGGCGCACGGGUGAGUAACGCGUAUCCAACCUGCCCACCACUUGGGGAUAACCUUGCGAAAGUAAGACUAAUACCCAAUGAUAUCUCAAGAAGACAUCUGAAUGAGAUUAAAGAUUUAUCGGUGAUGGAUGGGGAUGCGUCUGAUUAGCUUGUUGGCGGGGUAACGGCCCACCAAGGCGACGAUCAGUAGGGGUUCUGAGAGGAAGGUCCCCCACAUUGGAACUGAGACACGGUCCAAACUCCUACGGGAGGCAGCAGUGAGGAAUAUUGGUCAAUGGGCGAGAGCCUGAACCAGCCAAGUAGCGUGCAGGAUGACGGCCCUAUGGGUUGUAAACUGCUUUUAUAAGGGAAUAAAGUGAGUCUCGUGAGGCUUUUUGCAUGUACCUUAUGAAUAAGGACCGGCUAAUUCCGUGCCAGCAGCCGCGGUAAUACGGAAGGUCCGGGCGUUAUCCGGAUUUAUUGGGUUUAAAGGGAGCGUAGGCCGGAGAUUAAGCGUGUUGUGAAAUGUAGAUGCUCAACAUCUGCACUGCAGCGCGAACUGGUUUCCUUGAGUACGCACAAAGUGGGCGGAAUUCGUGGUGUAGCGGUGAAAUGCUUAGAUAUCACGAAGAACUCCGAUUGCGAAGGCAGCUCACUGGAGCGCAACUGACGCUGAAGCUCGAAAGUGCGGGUAUCGAACAGGAUUAGAUACCCUGGUAGUCCGCACGGUAAACGAUGGAUGCCCGCUGUUGGUCUGAAUAGGUCAGCGGCCAAGC